rnacentral:rRNA from 1 species
GAUGAACGCUAGCGGCAGGCUUAACACAUGCAAGUCGAACGGUAACAUAGGAGCUUGCUCCUGAUGACGAGUGGCGGACGGGUGCGUAACGCGUAUGCAACCUACCCUUAACAGGGGGAUAGUCUUUAGAAAUGAAGUUUAAUACCCCAUAACACUAUUUUAUGGCAUCGUAGAAUAGUUAAAGAAAUUCGGUUAAGGAUGGGCAUGCGUUCUAUUAGCUAGUUGGUGAGGUAACGGCUCACCAAGGCGAUGAUAGAUAGGGGUUCUGAGAGGAAUACCCCCCACACUGGUACUGAGACACGGACCAGACUCCUACGGGAGGCAGCAGUGAGGAAUAUUGGUCAAUGGAGGCAACUCUGAACCAGCCAUGCCGCGUGCAGGAUGACUGCCCUAUGGGUUGUAAACUGCUUUUAUACAGGAAGAAAUGUGCUACGUGUAGUGCUCUGACAUUACUGUAAGAAUAAGGACCGGCUAACUCCGUGCCAGCAGCC